CUGGCUCAGGAUGAACGCUAGCGGGAGGCCUAACACAUGCAAGCCGAGCGGUAGAGAUUCUUCGGAAUCUUGAGAGCGGCGUACGGGUGCGGAACACGUGUGCAACCUGCCUUUAUCAAGGGGAUAGCCUUUCGAAAGGAAGAUUAAUACCCUAUAAUAUAUUAUUCGGCAUCGGAUUAUAUUGAAAACUACGGUGGAUAAAGAUGGGCACGCGCAAGAUUAGCUAGUUGGUGAGGUAACGGCUCACCAAGGCGACGAUCUUUAGGGGGCCUGAGAGGGUGAUCCCCCACACUGGUACUGAGACACGGACCAGACUCCUACGGGAGGCAGCAGUGAGGAAUAUUGGACAAUGGAUGGGAGCCUGAUCCAGCCAUCCCGCGUGUAGGAAGACGGCUAGCUUUAAAGUAAACUACUUUUAUCUGGGGAUAAAC
rnacentral:rRNA from 1 species